ACACGUCAUAUUUUCGGUUUGUAAAUGUUCUGUACGAGUUGUGCGCAAUUUAACACUGUAACACUGUCUUAAACGUUAAAGUGGGUCUAUUUGUCCGUUGCAGUGACAGGCAGUGUUUCGGUCUCUCUUAAACAUGGCCACCAUGAUGGAGUAAACGCUACAACUUUAAAAUUCAUAUAAUCGAGGAAAACUAUGCUUCUUUCACCCAAAUGAGGAAUGUUUCGACCUGAAAUAUCGUACCAAACGCCUAAUCCACAUGAGAGCUUCGGGAAAAGUUUCUUCUUGGAUUACAUUCUGAAUUAAGUUAGCUGGAAGCUGGAAAGGAAAGAAGAGAAUUGCAUCAAUUCCAAUGUCAUCAGUGGAAAAGAGUCUGGAGCCCUCUGAGCAAGGACCAUCUCCUCCCCUGAGCAGUGCUGGGGCCACGCCCUCAGGGAGCCCAGCCCCCUCAGAUAGACGCCCACGGGGCCGGCCACGCAAGGAUGCUUCCUCUCUCACACCCAAGUCCAAAAGAAAGUCUCAUAGUCGAGGUCGUGCACAGGCCGAUGAUGAGGACAGCAUGGAUGCCACUGAUGUCACACCAACUCCAGACGUUGACAUCGCAUUGGAGAUGGAUUUGGUGGAGCCAGAAACGGAUGAUGAUUUUCCUGAGCCACUGGAUCUCAGCCCCAGAGAUGAGAGGCCUCUGUCCCCGCUCUUCCAGCGCUCCGUGUCCGAAGACUCUGCUGGCUCCUCUGCCACCUCCACCAGAAAAGCCAAAACUAGGUUGGUGUUAAACACACUCUCUCUCGGCUGA
rnacentral:lncRNA from 1 species